GGCAAGGCAAGAUAUUUGUUAACGAGGUUUAGCCGAAGCCUAUAUCUCAAGACACUAAUUAUUGGUGUUCCUCCCCAAUCUAAUAUAAUUAUAGGUUGUGUUUGAUACAUGAGAUUGGUAACCCAUCUCCUCCGCACGGAAAAUAGAGCGGUCCAUUAGCGCGUGAUUAAUUAAGUAUUAGCUAUUUUAAAAAAAAAUAUUAAUUUGAUUUUUUAAGCAACUUUCGUAUAGAUAUUUUUUGCAAAAAAAAACACACCAUUUAGCAGUUUGAAAAGUGCGUGCGUGGAAAACGAGGGACAGGGGUUGGGAACACCCUUAAACGAACGCAGCCAUAGUGUAUUAGUGUAUUCACGAUCAUUGACCAGCUAAGUCGUCAGCCAGUCAACCCUCUCCUAUGCUAUUGUUGUCAUGCAUUUACAACGGAUGUAUCUCUACAUAUAUUUAAGAGAGAGAGAGUCGGACUCUGACUCUAACUAUAACUAUAUCAUAACACAUAUUACAACUCUAACUAAAAAAUGGUAACCAACUUUGUAUAUAUAUUCGAUACAAACUCUAACAGAUACCACCUAAUGUUAUUUCUAGUGCAUCUGGUAUGUUACCCUACCAUACAUCAUGAGGACCAUACAUUAAUAAUACCCCCUUUGACUAGGGCUCCUGUCCCCCCUCCUUUCUGGAAAAACAAUAUCAUGUGAAACCAUUAUAUAUCAAAAUAACCCAUGUUUUAUAAAUCAAGGAUAACAUUAACCAUGUAUUUAUUUGUGGCUCAAAUAAAUAUGGUUUCUACCUACAUAUACCAUACCUGAUCGAACAGCUAGACGAUGUUUGUCGAGACCCAACAAUGUAAUGUCAUGAUUGUCAACAGUACUUGCAACAAUUUUCGUAGGUAUGUGAGUCAUUAGGAAUUAGCUUUGCACGAGUUGUGCUUUGUAUGGGAACUACACACGGGCUUACUGAGCUUUUUGGGCUCAAUUUGUUUCGAUCAUGUAAAGUUUUUCUUCUGUAACAUAGUAUAGAAUUCCUUUAGUUUUCCCAUCCAAACUUGUGUGAACCAAAGUAUCACUGUCCGCUCAUUGCCCACUGGCUGUUCGAAAACUGGCAGUAAUGGUUAUGAGCCAGGCAGUGAUUCUGUACCCUGUACUAGUGAACUAUACGUCAGGACAUGGGAGUAUAGGUUACUCAUGCACGUAUAUAACUACAUUGCAGUUAAAUUGCAUGCAACAUGUGUGUAGCUUCAUCUGUAUCUUUACUACUUAAAAAAUUCGUAGUGAUGGUGGUGAGUCCUGAACGAUCGAAGGGUUAACAUUCAUCGAA
rnacentral:sRNA from 1 species